rnacentral:rRNA from 1 species
GACGAACGCUGGCGGCGUGCUUAACACAUGCAAGUCGAACGAAGAGCGAUGGAAGCUUGCUUCUAUCAAUCUUAGUGGCAAACGGGUGAGUAACGCGUAAUCAACCUGCCCUUCAGAGGGGGACAACAGUUGGAAACGACUGCUAAUGCCGCAUACGAUCUGACCUCGGCAUCGAGGAUAGAUGAAAGGUGGCCUCUAUUUAUAAGCUAUCACUGAGGGAGGGGAUUGCGUCUGGUUAGCUAGUUGGAGGGGUAACGGCCCACCAAGGCGAUGAUCAGUAGGCGGUCUGAGAGGAUGAACGGCCACAUUUGGACUGGGACACGGCCCAGACUCCUACGGGAGGCAGCAGUGGGGGAUCUUCCGCAAUGGACGGAAGUCUGACGGAGCAACGCCGCGUGAGUGAUGACGGCCUUCGGGUUGUAAAGCUCUGUUAAUCGGGACGAAAGGCCUUCUUGCGAAUAGUUAGAAGGAUUGACGGUACCGGAAUAGAAAGCCACGGCUAACUACGUG